AAUUUUUUUCCUAUAAAUAAUACGUUUGUUCCACAAGCUACUUGUAGAAAAACUCGAGGAAAGCUCAAACUGUCAGCGUAUAUCAAACAAAACUCUAAAACUUACUUGUGGAACGCGUAUGUCUAACUCGAAGUGACUUCGAGUAGCUU